UUUCUUCCAGCCUCUGCACAUUACCUGUCCUAGUUCUUGUUUUAUUGUACUGCCACUCAACUUUUCUGAAUCUCCCACUUGGCUGUGUCUCUGUACCUGCUAAAUCAACACAGUUCCUGGCAUACAGGUGCAUUUCAGUGCAUGCUGGUGAGACAGCGAAGGGCUUGAAACAGUCCACAAAAGUUGAUGCAGGAGAGCAGUACAAUCCUUUCUGGAGUGGGACUCAGAGAAAGAUCAUGCAUGUUGAAGUCAUUCCAGCAGCAGUCCAGGGGAGUUGGGGCAGGUAAGAUGGGAUAAGUGCACUCCAACCAUCAUUUCUGUUGGUCAUAACUCCAGGAGAGAAAGUUUAGAACAGCUAUUUGAGGACGGUGAAAAGAAAACAGCAGAAGGAAUAUUGGUGAAGAACACAGAAUUUGAAGUACAUCAAACCAGUAGGCUCACUUCCAAGCCAUACAUGUUUGGAUCUGGUUUUAAUGAGGAUACCAAGACCUUUGAGAACUGAAGUAAUAGAGAGGUCAUCACCUGGUUCCUAGACUGGCUUCUGGGUGGUGCACACCUGAAAUGGAGACAAAAAGCAGUUUGAAAACUGAGUGGAUGUUGACAUCACAGCGCACAG
rnacentral:lncRNA from 1 species